UACGUAGGGUGCGAGCGUUGUCCGGAAUUAUUGGGCGUAAAGAGCUUGUAGGCGGUUUGUCGCGUCUGCUGUGAAAUUUCGGGGCUCAACCCCGAACUUGCAGUGGGUACGGGCAGACUAGAGUGUGGUAGGGGGAGACUGGAAUUCCUGGUGUAGCGGUGAAAUGCGCAGAUAUCAGGAGGAACACCGAUGGCGAAGGCAGGUCUCUGGGCCAUAACUGACGCUGAGAAGCGAAAGCAUGGGGAGCGAACAGG
rnacentral:rRNA from 1 species